rnacentral:rRNA from 1 species
AUGACCAGGGGCAUCGAGCUCAAGGUAAAUACCAUCGAUGCUGCAGCAGGAGAAAUACUCGGUAUUCUGGAUGGCAUCAGCAAACACGAAAGAAAUAUCUACUUUUAUGGCUGGUGUUGUCUCGGGGCAUCUGCUGCUCUCAGAGUGGCAGCCCAACGCCUGAAAUCACAAGCUGCUAAAGGAAGGAAGUUUGACAAGGUUGUCCACGUGGAUUGCACAUUGUGGCAAAGCAUGAGAGCCCUGCAAAAGGCAGUUGCUGAGGAGCUAGAGCUUUCCCAGUCGGUGAUGGCCAUCUUUGAUCAGCAUGAUGAGGAGGAUGAUUUCAAUGGGAUAGACCAAGGCUCCAGAGGGGUUAUAUUGGAUGUCAGAGAGGAGAUCUUCAGAAAGCUUGCUGGCAGUACAUUUGUGGUGUUUUUCCACAACGGGAGCAACCACUACAUUGAUCUGUACGCGUGUGGUGUCCCUGUAACAACAUUUUUGAGUAACAAGGUCGUGUGGACCUGGGGUGGGGGUUUUCAUUUGCCCAAUGAAAGUCUGGAACGUCAGCUUAGAAACAAUGUGGUUGAUGUUUUCGUGGGAAGUGAAGAAUGGCACGAUCAUGUAUUGCAUGAAGAGGCCGCGGAGGUUGCCAAGCGCGUGGGUAUUCUUGAUCCUGAUAAGAUAGUUGAGUGCUUCCAGUAUGCUUGGGCAAGAAGACUUGUGAGUGAUAUUGACUGGGAGAUGCAUGCUUCAAACUAUUGGGUAAGCGACGGGAUUAUACAAGGUCAAGGCGAUACAUCGGCAUGGGAGGUUGGCAAUGCUUUGAAGAGAAACGUACACUUGGAUCGGAUUGUGGAGAAUAUUUACUAUGAGAAAGAGAUUGGUGGUCGCAUUUCCAGUCCUAAUGGCUGUUGGGUUUCAGCCACACACCAAACCCUGCUACAUGAUGAUAAUCGUGUGUUGCCUCCUCGGGCGACAUCCUUCUUCCUUCUAACAGAAGAAUCAGAGGGUAGGAGGGUGGUAUUACCAGCUGCCAUGUUCCCACACAACAAUAGGCUACGGGUGUUACAUCUAUCUUGGUGCACCUUCAGUUUUACAUCUCCUCCCUUCUUCUUUUGCAGCCACCUAAGAUUCCUCCUGCUGGACCAUUGCACAGAUGUCAGAGAGGAGAAGCAUCAAAGCAACAACCAAAGCGGAUCAUGUAUCCAGAAGUUGUGGGUGUUGGACCUGAGGUACACAGAUUGGUACUCAAAAACUAUGAUGUGUUUAAUGGAUGAACUCAGGGAGCUGAAUGUGGAGACAGACAAGGAUUGGAUGAGCAUAGUUGAUCGCUGUGGCAAUAGAACAAGCCUUGUCAAGCUCCGAGUAGCUACCGACACAGACUCUGCAACAGAAAUAGUCAUUCACUGUCAAGUCCCUAACCUGUCUAGCGCCAGCCUCCUUAAGGAAAUCAUCCUUGAGGACUGUGUUGGAUUGGAACAAGUUGUCCCUGAUGUUCUGCCACCAUUGCUUGAGUCAUUUAGUUUCUUCAUCACUGAUGAUGCUAUCCCUAAGAUAUCAAGCAUUUCCUUAGAGGGCCUUGCCAAAUUGAAGAGUGUGCUGCUAAGAGGGGUGAUGGAGAACCUCCAGGAGCUAGAUCUCUCGGGUACAGCAGUGAAGACCCUCGACCUCAGAAAAGUGGUAGCCCUGAACCUCAAGAAGCUCAUCCUACUGGGUUGUGAGAAGCUGCAAACAAUACAACAUCCAUCAAGUAACAAAUGGCCAAGGAGGUUCGAGGUGUUGCGUAUUGACACCAUCCGAUCAGCAUCAUCUGCCCAAGCUAAUUGGGAAGAGAAGACCAAGGAGACUAUUGCUGCUAUAGGAUCAUCUUGUAUUGCUGCAGUUCCUUCUGAAAAACCAGCUACAUCCUUUGAUUGGUACAUCUCUGUAAGGGAUGCAAGGCUCUUUAGGUCGCUAGAGCCCUUUGAAAAAUAUUUCACGAAGAAGUGUGGAUGUAUAGAGAUGGCGUCAUCACCUACAGGUAGUGUUGCUAUUGAUGAUAGUGGACGUGCUCAAGGAAUUAGAAAGCCUGGUCAUUAUUUAUAUGCAAGAGAUAUAAUCUUCCGAGACCACCUGCUGGCUGCUACUGCUAAUGAAGGUGCAAUCGGAUGGAUGUGGGCUUGCUCGUCUGUUCCUGCCGUUGAUGAAUUCGUGAGCUGGUACGUCCACAUACAAGAUGAAGAGGAGAUAAAGAGUGGAUUACUGCAGCAACAAGGCAACAUCCAAGGAACUAGUACUGGUGUUGCUUUAAUCCCUGAUUUUAUAUGUUACAGUGCUAUAACACUGCGUGUGCAUGAUAGCUUGUCCAUCACUAGCAUCCCAAGCCCACAAGUGCUAUGGUCGAGCAGGUUUACAAAAUCAUGGAGCUACCUUCGAUGGUGUCGAGUUGAGAGAUGCCCCAAGCUAAGCUCUGUAUUUCCUAUCCCCACACGAAGUGAUGAUGGGAAUGAUUAUGAGAUAGUUGAAUGCUUUUCUUGGUUGACCACGUUCCGGGCAUCCCAGCUCCUGAAGGCACGCUACAUCUGGAACUGGAGUACAACAUGCAUACCCAGUAAAGAUUCCUUUCAACGCCUAAAAUUCUUGCACCUAGACUAUUGCCCCGGGCUCAUACAUGUGCUCCCCUUAUCCGUAAAUAUGACUACCUUGGGGAAACUAGAGACCCUUGAGAUCGUGUGUUGUGGCGAUCUCAUGGAGAUCUUCCCUUUGGACCCUGAGCGCCAAGAGAAGCAAACAAUUAUAAAUUUCCCCGAGCUUAAGCACAUCCACCUGCACGACCUCCCCAAGCUGCAGCGCAUCUGUGGAAGUACGAUGUUAGCCCAGAAGCUCGAGACUAUCAAGACAAGGGGCUGCUGGAGCCUGAGGCGCCUGCCCGCUGUUGCCAAGCAAUGCCCCGAGGUGGACUGCGAGAAGGAAUGGUGGGACAGCUUGGAGUGGGACGAGGGUGAUGCGAACCACCGCCCUUCGCUCUACAAGCUGAGCCACUCGAGGUACUACAAGAAGGCCCAGCUGCCGAGAGGCACCGUACUCAGGUAA